CGUACCUUUUGUAUAAUGGGUCAGCGACUUAUAUUCUGUAGCAAGGUUAACCGAAUAGGGGAGCCGAAGGGAAACCGAGUCUUAACUGGGCGUUAAGUUGCAGGGUAUAGACCCGAAACCCGGUGAUCUAGCCAUGGGCAGGUUGAAGGUUGGGUAACACUAACUGGAGGACCGAACCGACUAAUGUUGAAAAAUUAGCGGAUGACUUGUGGCUGGGGGUGAAAGGCCAAUCAAACCGGGAGAUAGCUGGUUCUCCCCGAAAGCUAUUUAGGUAGCGCCUCGUGAAUUCAUCUCCGGGGGUAGAGCACUGUUUCGGCAAGGGGGUCAUCCCGACUUACCAACCCGAUGCAAACUGCGAAUACCGGAGAAUGUUAUCACGGGAGACACACGGCGGGUGCUAACGUCCGUCGUGAAGAGGGAAACAACCCAGACCGCCAGCUAAGGUCCCAAAGUCAUGGUUAAGUGGGAAACGAUGUGGGAAGGCCCAGACAGCCAGGAUGUUGGCUUAGAAGCAGCCAUCAUUUAAAGAAAGCGUAAUAGCUCACUGGUCGAGUCGGCCUGCGCGGAAGAUGUAACGGGGCUAAACCAUGCACCGAAGCUGCGGCAGCGACACUAUGUGUUGUUGGGUAGGGGAGCGUUCUGUAAGCCUGCGAAGGUGUACUGUGAGGUAUGCUGGAGGUAUCAGAAGUGCGAAUGCUGACAUAAGUAACGAUAAAGCGGGUGAAAAGCCCGCUCGCCGGAAGACCAAGGGUUCCUGUCCAACGUUAAUCGGGGCAGGGUGAGUCGACCCCUAAGGCGAGGCCGAAAGGCGUAGUCGAUGGGAAACAGGUUAAUAUUCCUGUACUUGGUGUUACUGCGAAGGGGGGACGGAGAAGGCUAUGUUGGCCGGGCGACGGUUGUCCCGGUUUAAGCGUGUAGGCUGGUUUUCCAGGCAAAUCCGGAAAAUCAAGGCUGAGGCGUGAUGACGAGGCACUACGGUGCUGAAGCAACAAAUGCCCUGCUUCCAGGAAAAGCCUCUAAGCAUCAGGUAACAUCAAAUCGUACCCCAAACCGACACAGGUGGUCAGGUAGAGAAUACCAAGGCGCUUGAGAGAACUCGGGUGAAGGAACUAGGCAAAAUGGUGCCGUAACU
rnacentral:rRNA from 1 species